rnacentral:lncRNA from 1 species
AUUUUUCUCUCCUUUUUUCUUGUUAAAAAUAUUUCUCUCUAUUAUAAAUUUUGCUUUUUAAUGAAAAAAUGUUAAGUAUAAUUUAAAAAGAAAUGACCUAGCCACUUGGUGGCAGUAUGCCAUGAAGAAUACGGUCUCUGGCUUUGUUUCAGUCCCAUGAUUAAAAAUUUUGUCAUUGACUUGAUUUUGUCUCUGAUAAUCUUGUUUACAAGUUAUGUUACUUCAUAUAUCUGAUUCUUUGUAAAAUUACCCUCUGAUAAUUAAGCACCUCUUUUAAGUAACUUUAAUUUAAUCUAAUUUAAAUGACUGCAUCUGGUUGAUUUGAAAGUCUGAUAGCAAAUAGACCCUAAAGGAAGAUUGCAUUUAUUCUUUAUUAGGGCUAAUAAAGCCCUAGUCAGAUGUGAAAAUUAUUUUUAUAUGAUGCCAAAUAAUAACUAAAUGAAGUUUCAAUGCCAAAUAAUCACCUGUAAUUUAUAAAACAGAAUUAUAUUCAACUGAAUUGAAAACCAACAACACUAUUUAUCACUUUUAAAUAAAAAUACAAAUUUUAAAAUAACAAAAGUUAAAAUAAAAAUAAUUCUGCAACCUAUGUUUAUAAACCUAUGAUUCUGCCAACUUGAAAAUCUUGUUGCAUUUUAAGGUAUUAUUUCUACUGUUAAAAUUUCAAAUUAAGGCAAAUACAGACUCCAGCUUGUGCUCUCCGAGAAUAAACAUUGGCUUGUUAAACAGAGAUUUAGAUGCGUGAACCUGGCUGCCCACGGUUAGGGUACAACCUUAACCCUUCAGAGUUUGAUGGAGCCCUACACCAGGGAGAAAAAGAAAUUUAGUAAAGUAUUGAGAAGCCAUAUUCACAGGAAACACUUUCCUUUUGCUGUAGAGAAGCCAGAAUAAAAACACAGGAAAGAACUUUUGGCUUUUACAAUGUUUUCAUCUUCUAAAAUUCCCUGCCCUAUUGUUCUUAGAGAAUAGCCCUUCAAUAGAGCUUGUUCCUGCACCCAAAUUAGCCUUUCUCAAAAAUUUCCAAAAACCCAUAGGAAUUUUUUCACUAAAAAUGUAUGCUCUAUUUCUCAAAGAAAAAUCUUGUGGGCCACAUAGCUUAUUAUAUAAUCCUGUGAUAUCUCAGUGACAGUUAAGGAUGCCUUAAGUUGUGACUCCUGCCUGGACCAAGAAGAAUAUUUUGAAAAGAAAAAUGUGAAUACUGACUGAGUAAAUAAGGGCUUGAGGGGCUCCUGGAGAUGCAGAACUUAAAACCAUCUUCAGAAAUGUCUUCUGAUAACUGAUAGAAUUGUGUCCUUGAAGUCACCUCUGGCAGCUUCUAAGUAUCAGAAAGGGGCGGACUGGCAAGGUCUCUCUGGAACUUUUGCGUUCUGACUUAAAGUGAGUUAGCUGCCAAGACUACUCACCCAUCCCUGGUUGGAGGCCUUCAUUAACAAGCCUCAGACAGCCCUCAUGACUAGGCAGUGCCGGCCAGGAUCCUUGCCAUUGGGAAAGGAGCAGAGAGGAGUCAUUAAUGACAUUCCACACCUGUGUUACAACCCCAAAGUGUCUGCUAAUCAAAAUUGAGCUUCUUGUGGGAAGCCAAGAGGGGGCGAACAGCUUCCCAAAGAUUGCACAAAGGCCCAAAGUGACACAUCUCCAAGGCCCUUAAGGAAACUUAAACCUUAUUGCAUCAUCUAUUGGAAGGAAUCAAGUAGAAACCAAUUAUUGUGCAUUUUUCUGGCUCAGUGAAAUAAAGCUCCUUGGUAUUUGUUGCCUAGAAGCCUCAUGAAAUUAGUGGACACACCCUGAAAUUUUACAAACCCUCAGCGGUUUCUAAUUGUCCUUGCAAUAUUUCCUCCUUGGAGAUUUACCAAAUUAAAUUUAAAAAAGAGAAAAGACACACUUGCAGGCCAUUGCUUUUAUUUCACCCUUCAAACCUAUGAAAGUUACUGGUUGACUUUAAUCAUCUCUGAGCAAGGGAAGAAAGUCUCUGAAGAAAUGGAGCCACCUGAGUGCUCUUUUCUUGAUGUUCUUUUCUUUUUAAGUCCCCCAGGUCACACCAAAAUCUUUCCAACAUGAUACUCGGAAUUCUGACCUUCUCAUUUCUUCCACCUUAAAAGGACACUUUACUUCUGGUAAGA